rnacentral:rRNA from 1 species
CCUACGGGCGGCUGCAGUGGGGAAUAUUGGACAAUGGGGGCAACCCUGAUCCAGCCAUGCCGCGUGAGUGAUGACGGCCUUAGGGUUGUAAAGCUCUUUUCUCCGGGACGAUAAUGACGGUACCGGAGGAAUAAGCCCCGGCUAACUUCGUGCCAGCAGCCGCGGUAAUACGAAGGGGGCUAGCGUUGCUCGGAAUCACUGGGCGUAAAGGGCGCGUAGGCGGCUGAUUUAGUCGAGGGUGAAAGCCCGUGGCUCAACCACGGAAUGGCCUUCGAUACUGGUUGGCUUGAGACCGGAAGAGGACAGCGGAACUGCGAGUGUAGAGGUGAAAUUCGUAGAUAUUCGCAAGAACACCAGUGGCGAAGGCGGCUGUCUGGUCCGGUUCUGACGCUGAGGCGCGAAAGCGUGGGGAGCAAACAGGAUUAGAUACCCUGGUAUC